UAGUGUCUCGUAGGUCAUAUUUGGCCGGAUGUUAUAUUUUACUGUUUUGUAUAUAUCUUAUCACGAAGUGUCGACGACUGAACAUCCAAGAAAUCCAAGAUGCUAUUAAUCAUGUGAACAGGUACCAGUCGAUUGUCAGGGUGAUGAGGUCUGCAACAUCCAAAGAACUAAUGGCAUCAAUUAAGAUCAAAUAUUUCGACUUAAACGAAGUCGUGAAAGGAAAGAAGGAAGGAACGUUUGUCGCUUAUCACAAAUUAUUGACACAGAGCAAGGACGAAGGGGAGAAGAGAGCUGUGUAUGUAAAGGUUGCAGGAAAUGUA